UGGGGAAUAUUGGACAAUGGGCGCAAGCCUGAUCCAGCCAUGCCGCGUGUGUGAAGAAGGCCUUCGGGUUGUAAAGCACUUUUGUCCGGAAGGAAAUCCUGUCGGCUAAUACCCGGCGGGGAUGACGGUACCGGAAGAAUAAGCACCGGCUAACUUCGUGCCAGCAGCCGCGGUAAUACGAAGGGUGCAAGCGUUACUCGGAAUUACUGGGCGUAAAGCGUGCGUAAGUGGUUUGUUAAGUCUGAUGUGAAAGCCCUGGGCUCAACCUGGGAACUGCAUUGGAUACUGGCUUACUAGAGUGCGGUAGAGGGUGGCGGAAUUCUCGGUGUAGCAGUGAAAUGCGUAGAUAUCGGGAGGAACAUCCGUGGCGAAGGCGGCCACCUGGACCAGCACUGACACUGAGGCACGAAAGCGUGGGGAGCAAACAGGAUUAGAUACCCUGGUAGUCCACGCCCUAAACGAUGCGAACUGGAUGUUGGGAGCAACUAGGCUCUCAGUAUCGAAGCUAACGCGUUAAGUUCGCCGCCUGGGAAGUACGGUCGCAAGACUGAAACUCAAAGGAAUUGACGGGGUCAUAGCUGUUUCCU
rnacentral:rRNA from 1 species